rnacentral:rRNA from 1 species
AUUGAACGCUGGCGGCAGGCCUAACACAUGCAAGUCGAACGAGAGGCGGACGGGCGAGUAGGGUAUGAAGAUCUGGCUGAUAGAGGGGUAUAACUGCUAGAAAAGGUGGCUAAUACCGCAUACGGUGGGAUGAGCCCAUAGGGGAUUAGCUAGUAGGUGUGGUAAAGGCUCACCUAGGCGACGAUCCCUAGCUGGUCUGAGAGGCUGAUCAGCCACACUGGGACUGAGACACGGCCCAGACUCCUACGGGAGGCAGCAGUGGGGAAUAUUGCACAAUGGGCGCAAGCCUGAUGCAGCCAUGCCGCGUGUAUGAAGAAGGUCUUAGGGUUGUAAAGUACUUUUAUCGGGGAGGCGUUAUCUGCAGAAGAAGCACCGGCUAACUCCGUGCCAGCAGCCGCGGUAAUUC